rnacentral:rRNA from 1 species
UUUCCAGACUCCUACGGGAGGCAGCAGUGAGGAAUAUUGGUCAAUGGCCGGAAGGCUGAACCAGCCAAGUCGCGUGAGGGAAUAAGGCCCUAUGGGUCGUAAACCUCUUUUGUCAGGGAGCAAAGGCGUCCACGUGUGGACGAGAGGAGAGUACCUGAAGAAAAAGCAUCGGCUAACUCCGUGCCAGCAGCCGCGGUAAUACGGAGGAUGCGAGCGUUAUCCGGAUUUAUUGGGUUUAAAGGGUGCGCAGGCGGAAUGUCAAGUCAGCGGUAAAAUUUCGGGGCUCAACCCCGUCGUGCCGUUGAAACUGGCGUUCUUGAGUGAGCGAGAAGUAUGCGGAAUGCGUGGUGUAGCGGUGAAAUGCAUAGAUAUCACGCAGAACUCCGAUUGCGAAGGCAGCAUACCGGCGCUCAACUGACGCUCAUGCACGAAAGCGUGGGUAUCGAACAGGAUUAGAUACCCGCGUAAC